rnacentral:rRNA from 1 species
CCUACGGGUGGCAGCAGUGAGGAAUAUUGGUCAAUGGCCGGAAGGCUGAACCAGCCAAGCCGCGUGAAGGACGAAGGUGCCAAGCAUUGUAAACUUCUUUUGUCAAGGGACAAAAUCAGGCUCGAGAGCCUGACCGAGGGUACUUGAAGAAAAAGCAUCGGCUAACUACGUGCCAGCAGCCGCGGUAAUACGUAGGGGGCAAGCGUUAUCCGGAUUUACUGGGUGUAAAGGGAGCGUAGACGGAAAGGCAAGUCAGAAGUGAAAGCCCAAGGCUCAACCAUGGGACUGCUUUUGAAACUGUCAAACUAGAGUACGGGAGAGGUAAGAGGAAUUCCUAGUGUAGCGGUGAAAUGCGUAGAUAUUAGGAGGAACACCAGUGGCGAAGGCGUCUUACUGGACCGAAACUGACGUUGAGGCUCGAAAGCGUGGGGAGCAAACAGGAUUAGAUACCCCAGUAGUC